GAGGAUUCGUGCUGCGCAGGCGCGCGAGCGGGGCCGGCUUUUGAGUGGUGUGGGAGUUGUGCUCGUGACCUCCUCCUCCGUGUCCCUUCACCUUGAAGAGUCUCUCCUUGACGCCGGGGCUUCCGUUCUUUUCCAUUUAACCCCUGAAAGGUAACCUAUGAAGGCCCCGCCCCCAAGACCCAGGUCCAGCAAGUGCCAGAGGAACCCACAGCACACGUGUUGAACGAGUUCCCGAGUGAAGAGCUUUUUUCUGAUUUUUUAAAAUUUUAUUUUUGUGAUAGAACUGAUUCAUUCACAUAAAAAUACAUUAUGAUUUCUUAAACCUCUUUAGGCCAUCCCAAAUACAUUCACAAAUAAUUUAUUUUUGUCAAAACCUGUAUCUCAGUCUUUGGUUCAGAAAUGCAAUUGCCGCUUUGUGAGCUGCCUCGUGGAGGUAAAGGGUCCCCACUGCAGACCAGAUUCACACUAGGAUUUGCUUCCUGUCCUUGGUCCCCCACUAACCAACCAAACCUUUGGCUUCUGGUGGCCAGUUGACCUGUGGUGCUUUACACCCCGUCUCCUGUUAACCUGCCUGGUGGUGCUUCUGGUGAGGCAGAGGUACUCCCAUCCCAGGGCUGUAAUGGCCCGGGUAAUCUUAGCUCCUUGAGUUCUUGUUCACUUCUUACUUGGGGACCAGGAAUUGCAACCAUUGGAAGUGGGGGCAGCUUGGAUGCUGUUUGUUCAUGGCUACAGGCCUGGAAGGGGAGCAGGCAGUGUGGGACGGCCCCUCCUUAUGCCCCCCACUAGCUCUAGCUGGCCCCAUGCCGCCCCCACCCACAGCUUUACUCCUGGUUCUCUUUGCGGUUCCUAGGGAGCAUUCCCUGGGGUUAAAUAGAUGCUUUGCUUUAGCCAGUUAUUUUUGUUGUUUUCAGAGAGGGAGAGGGAGAGAUAGAAACAU